GCGGGAUUAGUUUAAUGGUAGAACUGCAGAUUUCCAAUCUGUAAGUGGGAGUUCGAUUCUCCCAUCCCGCA
rnacentral:tRNA from 1 species